UUCAUUAAAAAAGGGCUGAUGUCUCACUCAUGCAUCAUGAAGACAGACAAUCACACCCUGGAAUUGUGCAAUUCACCCAGUAGCUUGCCCCAAGAAUAGAAGGACAAAGCUAUUCUGAAGAUAAUGAAGGAAGAGCCAAUAGACUGUCAAGGGAGAGCUGCACUGGCAAUGAUGAAAGCAAGGAAGGUGGUAGAGCCACCAAGAAUGAGACAAGAACUAGGAUACUUUGGAACGAAAGGAAUCAGUGGAUUUAUUCAUUGGAGUGAUGGAGAGGUGCUCUCAGGUUAAAAAGAUAUGUCCAAUUUAACUGCUGCCGAAGAGGGUCACUAAGUAGUUGGUCUAUGAUUCCAGAGUCUUGAAGGAGGAUUCUGCUUCCUUUCCCCUACAAAAUGGUUUGGAAGACAAUCCUGUUUUUCUUCAAUGACAGGGAUACAGUGACUGAGUGAGAAGAAACAUUCCUGGCCUGCCCCCUCCCAGCUUCAUAAUCCAGGAGGAAACAUCUGUAUAGAGCCUCAGAAUCCCCUCCCUCCACCCCACUACAAUCCCAGGCCUUCUGAAUUGUAAUGAGGAGCUGCUUCUCCGGACCAGCAUAGUGUGAUCAUUGACCUAGGGCUGAGUUGAGGACAUCUGGAGUCAACUAUGGUAAGGGCUGUUACUUUAUGAUGUUAAGAAUGCCCCCCAGACUGUAGUAUUCCCUGGUGGUAAUCAUGAUCCAUAUCUUUGUGAAUUGGUGGUAGGAUUACUGUAAUGUGAUAUAUACUGGUCAACCUUAGUAAGAGAUCUGCUGCCCGCAGCUGGUUCAGAAUACAGCAGUCUGAUUGUUGCAGGGGGAGAUUAGCAGAGGUCAGUCUGACUGCUCACUGUCUUGCUAUCUAGCUCAGUUGCCUGUUAGCCCAAGUAUCAAGGUUAAAGUUUUUAAUUUUAAUAUUUAAAGCUCCAAAUGGAUUCUAUCCCAAGUGUCUUUCUGAACUUCUGAUGCCCUGUAUUCCAUCCCAGCCUCAAAGGUUGGAGGGAAAGAUAGCUUUUUGACCUGAGGGCUUUUAGUGAUGGACUAAGCAGAGGUUGGUACUUUUGCCUGUGGAGCUCUAGGUCUGCGGGAAUGCCUUCCUUCCAGAGUUGAGAACAAUCAUACAUUUGGUAUUUCUAAGAGGUUUAUACACCAGCAUUCAAAAAUGUGAGAACCCCUGCACUGUAAUUGUUUUAACUGUUUCUGGAUAUGCUCUGAUUGAAGUGUGCACCUGUGUGUUGCACACAACAGGCGAGUCUCAUCUUAUGCGGGGG